AGUUAGUCGUCAAAAACCGGUAAAUACGCGGCUCUGAGUACGAUAAUCUAGCAACAGUGGUCGAGGGUUGUUCACUAUCCCUUCCAUUUGAGCGUGAAGCGGUGGGGCGUGAGGAGCUGCGUGGCGGAGUUGACUAUCUAUCAUCCACAGGGCCGCACACGCUCCGUCUGCUCACCUGGCGGCCACACCUGAGGACGUAGCUGUACCCGUUUCCAGUGAGGGGGCGAGGAGUGUGUUAAAGGCGGCGUGUGGACCAAGAGGAGCGGCGGCUGAUCACAGGACGGAGGACGAGGCGAGGUGACCCAGGCUGUCUUGGCGGCCCUCUACCGUUGGUGUUAGUUUGCCUUGAGGGUGUUCGCAGCUAGACAGACAGGUGAGCAAGCUCGUUGGGGACUUGUUUGGCGUCCGGGGCGACAACGUGAUUCCCUUCGCCCGUUGUGACAGUGACGGCGCGACAGACUGCUGAGGACAUGGGGCCAGGUUGCUGAUAGACGGGUGUUUCACAUCUCUGUUAACGGACGCCCAACAGACUGGUGAUGGGCGGUGCUGAGGACAACUUGCUUUUGUCUGCCGGUCCCUGCGGAGAAUGGAACCGCUGACUUGAAAACAUUUGUCAAGGAAGAGACCUCUAAGAGAUUUCGAAAACUGCUGUAAUACAAUAAACGUCAAAGGAUUAUUAAA